rnacentral:rRNA from 1 species
GGGGGGACGCAGUAGGAUAGGCGAAGCGUGCGAUUGGAUUGCACGUCUAAGCAGUAAGGCUGAGUAUUAGGCAAAUCCGGUACUCGUUAAGGCUGAGCUGUGAUGGGGAGAAGACAUUGUGUCUUCGAGUCGUUGAUUUCACACUGCCGAGAAAAGCCUCUAGAUAGAAAAUAGGUGCCCGUACCGCAAACCGACACAGGUAGUCAAGAUGAGAAUUCUAAGGUGAGCGAGCGAACUCUCGUUAAGGAACUCGGCAAAAUGACCCCGUAACUUCGGGAGAAGGGGUGCUCUUUAGGGUUAACGCCCAGAAGAGCCGCAGUGAAUAGGCCCAAGCGACUGUUUAUCAAAAACACAGGUCUCUGCUAAACCGUAAGGUGAUGUAUAGGGGCUGACGCCUGCCCGGUGCUGGAAGGUUAAGAGGAGUGGUUAGCUUCUGCGAAGCUACGAAUCGAAGCCCCAGUAAACGGCGGCCGUAACUAUAACGGUCCUAAGGUAGCGAAAUUCCUUGUCGGGUAAGUUCCGACCCGCACGAAAGGCGUAACGAUUUGGGCACUGUCUCAACGAGAGACUCGGUGAAAUCAUAGUACCUGUGAAGAUGCAGGUUACCCGCGACAGGACGGAAAGACCCCGUGGAGCUUUACUGUAGCCUGAUAUUGAAAUUCGGCACAGCUUGUACAGGAUAGGUAGGAGCCUUUGAAACGUGAGCGCUAGCUUACGUGGAGGCGCUGGUGGGAUACUACCCUAGCUGUGUUGGCUUUCUAACCCGCACCACUUAUCGUGGUGGGAGACAGUGUCAGGCGGGCAGUUUGACUGGGGCGGUCGCCUCCUAAAAGGUAACGGAGGCGCUCAAAGGUUCCCUCAGAAUGGUUGGAAAUCAUUCAUAGAGUGUAAAGGCAUAAGGGAGCUUGACUGCGAGACCUACAAGUCGAGCAGGGUCGAAAGACGGACUUAGUGAUCCGGUGGUUCCGCAUGGAAGGGCCAUCGCUCAACGGAUAAAAGCUACCCCGGGGAUAACAGGCUUAUCUCCCCCAAGAGUUCACAUCGACGGGGAGGUUUGGCACCUCGAUGUCGGCUCAUCGCAUCCUGGGGCUGUAGUCGGUCCCAAGGGUUGGGCUGUUCGCCCAUUAAAGCGGUACGCGAGCUGGGUUCAGAACGUCGUGAGACAGUUCGGUCCCUAUCCGUCGUGGGCGUAGGAAAUUUGAGAGGAGCUGUCCUUAGUACGAGAGGACCGGGAUGGACAUACCUCUGGUGUACCAGUUGUCGUGCCAACGGCAUAGCUGGGUAGCUAUGUGUGGACGGGAUAAGUGCUGAAAGCAUCUAAGCAUGAAGCC